rnacentral:rRNA from 1 species
AUCCCUGAAAACCGGUCUCAGUUCGGAUCGCAGUCUGCAAUUCGACUGCGUGAAGGUGGAGUCGCUAGUAAUCGCGGAUCAGCAACGCCGCGGUGAAUGCGUUCCCGGGCCUUGUACACACCGCCCGUCAAGUCAUGAAAGUGGGCAGCACCCGAAGACGGUGGCCUAACCCUUGUGGGGGGAGCCGUCUAAGGUGAGGCUCGUGAUUGGGACUAAGUCGUAACAAGGUAUC